UGAUCUGUAAUGCCUUGAAUC
rnacentral:siRNA from 1 species